rnacentral:rRNA from 1 species
GCUCAACCGAGGAAGUGCUUCGAAAACUGGUAAACUUGAGUGCAGAAGAGGAAAGUGGAACUCCAUGUGUAGCGGUGGAAUGCGUAGAUAUAUGGAAGAACGCCAGUGGCGAAGGCGGCUUUCUGGUCUGUAACUGACGCUGAGAUUCGAAAGCAUGGGUAGCAAACAGGAUUAGAUACCCUGGUAGUCCAUGCCGUAAACGAUGAGUGCUAAGUGUUGGAGGGUUUCCGCCCUUCAGUGCUGCAGCUAACGCAUUAAGCACUCCGCCUGGGGAGUACGAUUGCAAGAUUGAAACUCAAAGGAAUUGACGGGGGCCCGCACAAGCGGUGGAGCAUGUGGUUUAAUUCGAAGCAACGCGAAGAACCUUACCAGGUCUUGACAUACCAUGAAAAGCUAAGAGAUUAGUCUUUCCCUUCGGGGACAUGGAUACAGGUGGUGCAUGGUUGUCGUCAGCUCGUGUCGUGAGAUGUUGGGUUAAGUCCGCAACGAGCGCAACCCUUAUUAUCAGUUGCCAGCAUUCAGUUGGGCACUCUGGUGAGACUGCCGGUGACAAACCGGAGGAAGGUGGGGACGACGUCAAAUCAUCAUGCCCCUUAUGACCUGGGCUACACACGUGCUACAAUGGUCGGUACAACG